UGUAUACUUAUGAUGAUAUUAUAGUUCAGCUGACUAUCCAUGUUGACAAUAGAUCUAAAUGUCUUUCGCUCCUAUCUGAAGUAUGCA